rnacentral:lncRNA from 1 species
ACAUAAAACCAAACUCACUUAGAUCCAGUAGCUUCCCUUGGUUCUGGUUCAGUUCCCAAAAGAAGCUAAAAGUAUCUCAGGAGAGGGUUACACCUGCCCGGUUCUCGGGCUACCCUAACUCAUUUUGGUCUUGGGAAGAAUAUCCACGUGGGCCUAGUUGACCCUUAAGCAUCAUCCUCUUCCCUUAAUCAAAGGAGUGCAGGUUGUUCUUUCCAGGUGAAGUGGGUGCAGUUGGGCGCGCUGGCGCAUACGCACAGAAAAGGAUAUUAGAGGUCUGAGUGGAACUCCUACCUAGCUCUUCAACUUGAACCUGCCCCACCUCCGCAAUAGGGCCGGGUUUAGGCGCUCAGGGACUUGCGUGGCGCCGACUCGUUGUUCAUGUAAAUGUCAGUUUGGCGCAAUCCGUCGUUGGACCUGGGCAGACACCUGAGCUACUGAGGAGCAGGGAGGCCGCUCACCCGGAUUCGCGCCCUGCUUGAUUGGGUGUGAGGGCUAUUACAAAGUUUCCUACAAGCAAAAAGAAGGUGGGCGGCUGCAACGUACUUCAACCCUGCAAUGGGUCUUAGAUGAGUGGAGGACUGGGGAAUGCUGGAGUCUGUUACAUAUUUCUUGGGAUUGCUUUUACAUCAUAAGAAAUCACAAGAGUGUGAGCCAAGAAAUUUUGCUUCAUCAUUGCUUGGAGGACUGGAUAUUUGCUCAGAUUCUACUAAUCACUUGCUUUGGGAUUUUUAGGUAUAGUUUAUUAUCUUAUCUUUUCUACCAGGAUAUGAAAAUUUCUUCCUUAUAGGUUAUGACUAAGAAAAUGGAGAUGCAUUAAAAAAAAAUCUUUGAACUUUCAUUCUAUGAGAUGUUUUCAUUCCAGAAGAAUUUGAUUUUCAAUAAAAACAACAGCUCUUUUUCCCCUAGCA